UAAAAGCCAACCACCAAAAAUCCCUUAAUGAAUAGUAAAAGCUAUUUUAACUUUAGGAAAAUUUAGCUAACAAUUUCAAACGUUAAACCCGACACCCGAUCUAACACAUGUUUUUCAUAAUACAUUUAUUUACCUAGAUUUUAAAUCUCGCUAACGAGAAUCGGUUGACUUCAUCGUUGACUGUUAUAGCAUAGCUAUUGCAGUCCAAACUUUGCAGUACAAACCCGGUCUCAUCGGAUACUAGACAUCACGUAUUCGGAUUCCAAGCAACCGAUAUCCGCACCAAGGUGAAACCGUUUAGCAUCAGAUGGACUGAGAGUCGAUCUCGGAUGAUUCUUCUUCUUUCAAGCCUUCGAUCUUUACUGCUGAUGAAGAACAAUCGCCAAAUUCUCAGAACAUAAAGAUGCUCAAUGUCAUCCAGCUCUAUUCAUGAAAGCAUCCAUCAUCUUCCGAAGUAGAAGAACAGACGAGGGAGGAAGAACAACAAUAAAAAUAAGAGACCUAAAUUCAUGUAUGGAUUCCAAUAGCCUUACUUGAUCCAGCGUCUCUUGAAGAGGGCAGGUGGCUGGGAGCGAGAUGCUCAACAGAUUACAUGGCUCAAUUUUGCCCAGCUUGAGUUUCAGGCAACAGAGAGAGUGGAGAAGCUAGAAGAUGAAGUAGAGACAAGGUAGCUGGGAGAGAGGCGGUGGUAGAGAAGGGAGGUGGGUGUGAGGGGAAUUAUUGUUUUUCUUUUUUUAUAAUUAUUUAUUUUUUACCUUGUUCAUUGUGUAUUCCACUAUUAAUUAUCACCAGCCAAUCCAUCCACGUCAGAUGAGCUAGUGCGGAGUCAGUUUCCGUUAAACUUCAGUUAAGUCCCACCUGACGAUGUUAGCGAUAUUUGAAAUCUGGGCAAAAAUAUGUAUUAUGAAAAACAUGUGUCAAAUUGCGUGUCGGUCUUAAUGUUGGUAUUUAUUUGAUGAUUUUUU
rnacentral:lncRNA from 1 species